GGGGAAUAUUGCACAAUGGGGGAAACCCUGAUGCAGCGACGCCGCGUGAGCGAUGAAGGAAUUCGUUUCGUAAAGCUCUGUCCAAGGGGAAGAUAAUGACAGUACCCUUGGAGGAAGCCCCGGCUAAAUACGUGCCAGCAGCCGCGGUAAUACGUAUGGGGCGAGCGUUGUCCGGAAUUAUUGGGCGUAAAGGGUACGUAGGCGGUUAGAUAAGUCAGAUGUAAAAGCGUGGGGCUCAACCCCAUAAAGCAUUUGAAACUGUGUAACUUGAGUAGUGGAGAGGAAAGUGGAAUUCCUAGUGUAGCGGUGAAAUGCGUAGAUAUUAGGAGGAAUACCAGUGGCGAAGGCGACUUUCUGGACACAAACUGACGCUGAGGUACGAAAGCAUGGGGAGCAAAC
rnacentral:rRNA from 1 species